rnacentral:rRNA from 1 species
AUGAACGCUAGCUACAGGCUUAACACAUGCAAGUCGAGGGGCAGCAUUUCAGUUUGCUUGCAAACUGGAGAUGGCGACCGGCGCACGGGUGAGUAACACGUAUCCAACCUGCCGAUAACUCGGGGAUAGCCUUUCGAAAGAAAGAUUAAUACCCGAUGGUAUAAUCAGACCGCAUGGUCUUGUUAUUAAAGAAUUUCGGUUAUCGAUGGGGAUGCGUUCCAUUAGGCAGUUGGUGAGGUAACGGCUCACCAAACCUUCGAUGGAUAGGGGUUCUGAGAGGAAGGUCCCCCACAUUGGAACUGAGACACGGUCCAAACUCCUACGGGAGGCAGCAGUGAGGAAUAUUGGUCAAUGGGCGCAGGCCUGAACCAGCCAAGUAGCGUGAAGGAUGACUGCCCUAUGGGUUGUAAACUUCUUUUAUAUGGGAAUAAAGUUUUCCACGUGUGGAAUUUUGUAUGUACCAUAUGAAUAAGGAUCGGCUAACUCCGUGCCAGCAGCCGCGGUAAUACGGAGGAUCCGAGCGUUAUCCGGAUUUAUUGGGUUUAAAGGGAGCGUAGGUGGACAGUUAAGUCAGUUGUGAAAGUUUGCGGCUCAACCGUAAAAUUGCAGUUGAUACUGGCUGUCUUGAGUACAGUAGAGGUGGGCGGAAUUCGUGGUGUAGCGGUGAAAUGCUUAGAUAUCACGAAGAACUCCGAUUGCGAAGGCAGCUCACUGGACUGCAACUGACACUGAUGCUCGAAAGUGUGGGUAUCAAACAGGAUUAGAUACCCUGGUGGUCCACACAGUAAACGAUGAAUACUCGCUGUUUGCGAUAUACAGUAAGCGGCCAAGCGAAAGCAUUAAGUAUUCCACCUGGGGAGUACGCCGGCAACGGUGAAACUCAAAGGAAUUGACGGGGGCCCGCACAAGCGGAGGAACAUGUGGUUUAAUUCGAUGAUACGCGAGGAACCUUACCCGGGCUUAAAUUGCAUUUGAAUAUAUUGGAAACAGUAUAGUCGUAAGACAAAUGUGAAGGUGCUGCAUGGUUGUCGUCAGCUCGUGCCGUGAGGUGUCGGCUUAAGUGCCAUAACGAGCGCAACCCUUAUCUUUAGUUACUAACAGGUCAUGCUGAGGACUCUAGAGAGACUGCCGUCGUAAGAUGUGAGGAAGGUGGGGAUGACGUCAAAUCAGCACGGCCCUUACGUCCGGGGCUACACACGUGUUACAAUGGGGGGUACAGAAGGCAGCUACCUGGUGACAGGAUGCUAAUCCCAAAAGCCUCUCUCAGUUCGGAUCGAAGUCUGCAACCCGACUUCGUGAAGCUGGAUUCGCUAGUAAUCGCGCAUCAGCCAUGGCGCGGUGAAUACGUUCCCGGGCCUUGUACACACCGCCCGUCAAGCCAUGAAAGCCGGGGGUACCUGAAGUACGUAACCGCAAGGAGCGUCCUAGGGUAAAACUGGUAAUUGGGGCU